UACGUAGGGUGCAAGCGUUGUCCGGAAUUAUUUGGGCGUAAAGAGCUCGUAGGCGGUUUUGUUGCGUCGGCUGUGAAAUCCCGAGGCUCAACCUCGGGUCUGCAGUCGAUACGAGCAAACUAGAGUGUUGCAGGGGAGACUGGAAUUCCUGAUGUAGCGGUGAAAUGCGCAGAUAUCAGGAGGAACACCGGUGGCGAAGGCGGGUCUCUGGGCAACAACUGACGUGAGGAGCGAAAAGCCUGGGGGAG
rnacentral:rRNA from 1 species